AAUGUUUCCAGCUACUGCAGCCCAAUACUGAAACAUUUUUGCCUUAGCGCCAACGGAGCCCUUUCAAAAUACCAAAACAAUGCACACUUUCUCUUCUUGUGGUGUUUCUCGUCUCACUGCAGGACAUAACUAGAGGAGAUGACAUUAUUCAUGAGAUACUUGUCCAUCUUCAAGACCUUGCUCGCUACCCUAAUCUCUUCAGCUUUGACACAAACACAAUAUACUUGCCAAAUGUACAGAUGACAAAUAGUGACUUUUGCAACUGUAAAGAAACAGUUGCUCAAGAACUUCUGAAAACUCUUGCUUUGGCAAGAUCUACAGAUCAAGGCAUGGGUCUUGGGCAACAUACAAUCUUUAGAAUGCUACAGUACAAUAUUCAGUCACUACUUCAGUAUUCAGGAACAGCUGGAGGACAGUGUUCGCAAAAUAAGAUGAUCAUCUUGAAGAUUGUGAAAAAAACUCAACAGCUGAUUUUUGUAAAACAAUGCAUCACAUUUUUUCAAAGGUGGAUGAAUAGUUGUGUUAAUAGUUAUCAGUAUUGAUCCAUUAUGUUAAGGCCUUUCUAGUGUCACUGUGCAUAUAAAUAAAGUCAUCAUUACAGACUACCUUUAAAUAUUUGUCUUCUACACGUAACCACUGAUCUGUUAUACUAAUGGCAAAGGGCCAUCCCUACUGGAAACAUUUUUUUGUUUAUUGGUUGGGUUUAUGUCCUAACCGCAAAGGCAAUGAAGGUUUAAUGCCUGUCAUUAAUUCAUUAAAUAUAUUAGUUCAAUAUAUUUAAAAUACUGGCUAAAGUGGAGUGGUUUUGGAAUGUUUACACUG